GUUUUAAUAAUUUAAAUAAAAUAUUGGUCUUGUAAACCAAAAAUAAGGUUACUUUUAAAACU
rnacentral:tRNA from 1 species